UUUCCUUUUCAGGUGUUUCACCAACAUGAUGAUGUGCUAAUUUUCAAAGCAGCACAUCUCAGAGGAAAUGACGCUGGAGACAUUCCAGGCUCUGCCCUUG
ensembl:lncRNA